rfam:Dipodomys ordii contig_48473, whole genome shotgun sequence.
GGGAAAGUGGCUCAGUGGUAAAGUGCUUGCCUUGCAUGCAUGAGGUCCUGGGUUCGAUUCCUCAGCACCA